rnacentral:rRNA from 1 species
UUGAAAGGGAAACGAUUGAAGUCAGUCAUGCCAGUGGGAAUCAACUUAGGGGAAACUCUGGGUGCACUUCUUCGCUUGGCAGGUCAACGUCGAUUUUGAAUGUCAUAAAAUAAUUGGGGGAAGGUAGCUCCUUCGGGAGUGUUAUAGCCCUUGAUAGAUGUGGUGUUUGGGGUCGAGGAUUGCAACGGAUACCCUUCGGGGCUAGCCGCCUGAUCUCUAAUUGGUGUUGGGUUACGGAUAGCAUGCUGACCGUGAUCUAAUUACUGGUUAAAAGGUUAGAGUGUGCAUAAAUUCGUUAAGGAUGUUGACGUA